rnacentral:rRNA from 1 species
GUCGAGUGGAGCGGUCUUGAUGAAGUUUUCGGAUGGAAUCAGGAUUGUCUUACCGGCGGACGGGUGAGUAACACGUGGAUAACCUGCCUUAUACUGGGGGAUAACAGCCAGAAAUGGCUGCUAAUACCGCAUAAGCGCACGGCGCCGCAUGGCGCAGUGUGAAAAACUCCGGUGGUAUAAGAUGGAUCCGCGCCUGAUUAGCUAGUUGGCGGGGCAGCGGCCCACCAAGGCGACGAUCAGUAGCCGGCCUGAGAGGGCGACCGGCCACAUUGGGACUGAGACACGGCCCAAACUCCUACGGGAGGCAGCAGUGGGGAAUAUUGCACAAUGGGGGGAACCCUGAUGCAGCGACGCCGCGUGAGUGAAGAAGUAUUUCGGUAUGUAAAGCUCUAUCAGCAGGGAAGAAGAUGACGGUACCUGACUAAGAAGCCCCGGCUAACUACGUGCCAGCAGCCGCGGUAAUACGUAGGGGGCAAGCGUUAUCCGGAUUUACUGGGUGUAAAGGGAGCGUAGACGGCAGGGCAAGUCUGGAGUGAAAGCCCGGGGCCCAACCCCGGGACUGCUUUGGAAACUGCCAUGCUGGAGUGCUGGAGAGGUAAGCGGAAUUCCUAGUGUAGCGGUGAAAUGCGUAGAUAUUAGGAGGAACACCAGUGGCGAAGGCGGCUUACUGGACAGUAACUGACGUUGAGGCUCGAAAGCGUGGGGAGCAAACAGGA